rnacentral:lncRNA from 1 species
UUUCUUGUAUAUCCACUUUGGUUGGAUAUUAUAAGUUCUUCUUAUUUUUGUAUGUCCCUAUUUCAUCCAAGAAGAGGAAUUCUUAACUAGUAGGAAAAAGAUAGAAAUGUAAAUUAUAGAUAUGUUUAAUAUAUCCUAGCUAGCUACAUGUAGUUUUAUAUUGUAUAGAUUUUUCCAUAUUGAUUAAGACAUUAAGUUUAUGGGUCUCUCAA